GUUGAACGCUGGCGGCAGGCCUAACACAUGCAAGUCGAGCGGAAACGAUCCUAGCUUGCUAGGAGGCGUCGAGCGGCGGACGGGUGAGUAGCGCGUGAGAAUCUACCCAUGAGUGGGGGACAACCUGGGGAAACUCGGGCUAAUACCGCAUACGCCCUACGGGGUAAAGCAGGGGACCUUCGGGCCUUGCGCUGAUGGAUGAGCUCGCGUCGGAUUAGCUUGUUGGUGAGGUAAAGGCUCACCAAGGCGACGAUCCGUAGCUGGUCUGAGAGGAUGAUCAGCCACACCGGGACUGAGACACGGCCCGGACUCCUACGGGAGGCAGCAGUGGGAAUCUUGGACAAUGGGGGCAACCCUGAUCCAGCCAUGCCGCGUGUGUGAAGAAGGCCUUCGGGUUGUAAAGCACUUUCAGCAGGGAGGAAGGCUUACCCCUAAUACGGGUGAGUACUUGACGUUACCUGCAGAAGAAGCACCGGCUAAUUUCGUG
rnacentral:rRNA from 1 species